rnacentral:rRNA from 1 species
AGACAAUUGUUACUGGUGCUGGUGACGAGACGCUCCGGUUUUGGAACGUGUUUCCGUCUCCCAAGUCCCAGAGUUCUGACAGCUUAAGUAGCAUUGGAGCGACAUCAUUUGUUAGGAGCUACAUCCGGUGACUCAACGAAAUGUAGUUUCGUCGAGCUUGUAAGUUAUUGCCGCAAGUGCUGAUCGUCAUCAGCACCAUUCAAUUCCCACACGACCUCCUUCUGUCCAUCUGCCGCCGAAGCCAGCACCAUUUUAGAGAUUGCACGGCAGGGGAUGAUUGACUGGCUGGCUUGCGCGGAUCCGAUCCCCUCUCCCGCGCUGGAAGCGGCACAUAUCUAUUGUUGUAGGAGCGAAGGCGGGAGAUGUUCAUGUCAGAGAAGCAUGGGCUAUACAGCCAGCCACACUCCCUCCUCCAGUUUAUGUUCCCCAUUGGAACUGCCCUGCGAACCAAACUGUUCCUUAACAUUUACUCACUCAUGAAGCCCUUUUGAUUUCAUUCGUUAUGUUGUUUAGCGGGAAAUUCCUCUUGUUUGAGCAACUGAGAAAUCUGUUGGCGUGUCGAUUAUGCGCUUGACUGAUGAUAUACAAGCUGUAGCUCUAUUCAGAACAUCAUGAAAUUCAGAACUGGACCUCGCUGGCCUGUGUCAAGGCCUGUGGAGGAAUUCAGAAUUUGGCCAUGUCCUCUGAUGGAUGCAGUGGGUUAAAAUUAUCUGUCU